UGGGGAAUCUUGCACAAUGGGGGAAACCCUGAUGCAGCGACGCCGCGUGAGCGAUGAAGCCCUUCGGGGUGUAAAGCUCUUUCGGCAGGGAAGAUAAUGACGGUACCUGCAGAAGCAGCUGCGGCUAACUACGUGCCAGCAGCCGCGGUAAUACGUAGGCAGCAAGCGUUGUUCGGAGUUACUGGGCGUAAAGGGUGCGUAGGCGGCUUUUUAAGUUUGGUGUGAAAUCUCCCGGCUCAACUGGGAGGGUGCGCCGAAUACUGAGAGGCUAGAGUGUGGGAGAGGAAAGUGGAAUUCCUGGUGUAGCGGUGAAAUGCGUAGAUAUCAGGAGGAACACCGGUGGUGUAAACGGCUUUCUGGACCAUAACUGACGCUGAGGCACGAAAGCGUGGGUAGCAAACAGGAUUAGAUACCCCCGUAGUCC
rnacentral:rRNA from 1 species